UACAAAAUAAAAAGAGCCAACUGCCUGGUGUUUGACAACUUAAGUUAGGGCUAUCAACUUGUGUCUCCUACUUCAUUUAUUUCCAACGCCAUACAAAACACCAUGAAAACACAAUUUCUUCAUCAGUCUCCUUCUCUCCCCGAAACACAGAUACCUUCCUCUUCAUCCACAGCCAACCUUCGCGUCCAACUCAAAAGAAAAUCCCUCAUCCAAUCGAAGCGCGCCCAGCUCCUCACCUAAGUGUAAAGUGCCCAGUGGAUUUCACCAUCUCUCCACUGAAACCCAUCCCUCAGAUCCCUAAUCAUCCUUCGCUGUCUCUCUCCAUGACUUAUCUAGAUACGUCUCCGGUGACGCCGGAGCUGGUUGACUAGAGGUCCCGGUGAGACUCUGUAAUUGAGUGACGACGACUCCAUUCAACUUUGAUAUAUAUAGGUCCAAUCCUCGUCCAAGACCCAACCUUUUCCACCUUCGACUCCAAUACCUUUAUCGCAUUCGUCUCACAGCUCGAGCUUGGCUGUGGCCAUGGACUUCCUGGUAUCUUUUCCUGCCUUGAGGGUGCAGCUGCUAUUCAUUUCUAGGACUUCAAUGCUGAGGUCCUGCAAUGUCUCACAAUACCCAAUGUAAAUGCAAAUGUUCCAAGCUUCCAACCCCCAGAUUUCUAGGACUUUUUUGAAAGUAUUGCUUAUGUACUUUAUGCAAUUUCUUGUAUCCCAUUCACCUAAUUCAUACUACUAGCAGGGAAGUUUGCGAUGGGUUGACACGAAGAUUCAAAGAGAUGUUUCUGUGGAUAUCAACAAGAAAAGGAUAAUUGUAACCCCUAUUUUGAGAUUGGUGUUUUGUCUGUUGCCUCUAGUUGCUACAUCUGAAUUUUACGAGGUGAAGAAUAAAGUCAAGAACAAAGUUGUUCGCAAAGUCAUGCAUAGAUUUUGUCAAGGGACAUAGAUCACUCUGUGAUCCUGUUCUUCGGGAAGACACUUUCCAAGCUGUUGAGAUGGUGACAGAGCAAAUAAACCUGUUGUUGGUAUACUAAGCAAGUUCUCUUUCCAGAAGUUGCGGAAGCCACAUUGGAUUUUCAUCAUGGUUCUGUAGUUGAAGAGUUUGGACAUUUUCAUAUUUCACCUUUGAAGGCAUUUGCACAGGGUCGAGUCACAAGAGAGGGAAAAUAUUGAUCCUAUGGGCGCACCAUUUUCUGCUUCUGCUGGCAUAUAAUAUUCACAUGCAGCAGUUGCUCAUGUUUUUUUCAUUAAUCAUAUUAUUUUUUGAUGGUUUAUGGAUAUUUAUAAUGGCAUGGCACUAGAAUGCUAUCUUGUUUUGGAACAAUAUGUAUUUGUAUCAACUUUUGAAGUCCCAAGUAGAUGGGCAUGUAUUAUAGAAUGCUUUUCUUCUUUUAAUGUUGGCUUGGAUGAUUGGGGAAUGCUCCCUUUUUACAUUUGAAGUUUAUAGUAUGGGUUGGAUUACUCAUUUGAUGGUUUGC